UGCCAGCAGCCGCGGUAAUACAGAGGGUGCAAGCGUUAAUCGGAAUUACUGGGCGUAAAGCGAGCGUAGGUGGCUUGAUAAGUCAGAUGUGAAAGCCCCGGGCUUAACCUGGGAACGGCAUCUGAUACUGUUAGGCUAGAGUAGGUGAGAGGAAGGUAGAAUUCCAGGUGUAGCGGUGAAAUGCGUAGAGAUCUGGAGGAAUACCGAUGGCGAAGGCAGCCUUCUGGCAUCAUACUGACACUGAGGUUCGAAAGCGUGGGUAGCAAACAGGAUUAGAUACCCUGGUAGUCCACGCCGUAAACGAUGUCUACUAGUCGUUGGGUCCCUUGAGGACUUAGUGACGCAGCUAACGCAAUAAGUAGACCGCCUGGGGAGUACGGCCGCAAGGUUAAAACUCAAAUGAAUUGACGGGGGCCCGCACAAGCGGUGGAGCAUGUGGUUUAAUUCGAUGCAACGCGAAGAACCUUACCUGGUCUUGACAUAUCUAGAAUCCUGCAGAGAUGCGGGAGUGCCUUCGGGAAUUAGAAUACAGGUGCUGCAUGGCUGUCGUCAGCUCGUGUCGUGAGAUGUUGGGUUAAGUCCCGCAACGAGCGCAACCCUUGUCCUUAGUUACCAGCGGUUUGGCCGGGAACUCUAAGGAUACUGCCAGUGACAAACUGGAGGAAGGCGGGGACGACGUCAAGUCAUCAUGGCCCUUACGACCAGGGCUACACACGUGCUACAAUGGUAGGUACAGAGGGCAGCUACACAGCGAUGUGAUGCGAAUCUCAAAAAGCCUAUCGUAGUCCAGAUUGGAGUCUGCAACUCGACUCCAUGAAGUAGGAAUCGCUAGUAAUCGCGGAUCAGAAUGCCGCGGUGAAUACGUUCCCGGGCCUUGUACACACCGCCCGUCACACCAUGGGAGUUGAUUGCACCAGAAGUGGUUAGCCUAACCUUUUAGGAAGGCG
rnacentral:rRNA from 1 species